AGAGUUUGAUCAUGGCUCAGGACGAACGCUGGCGGCGUGCUUAACACAUGCAAGUCGAGCGGAAAGGCCCUUCGGGGUACUCGAGCGGCGAACGGGUGAGUAACACGUGAGCAACCUGCCCCUGGCUCUGGGAUAGCUCCGGGAAACCGGGAUUAAUACCGGAUGGGUGACCUGCUGCCGCAUGGCGGCGGGUGGAAAGU
rnacentral:rRNA from 1 species